rnacentral:lncRNA from 1 species
AUGUUCUUGCUUAAAAUUGUUUCUCUCAUAUACUUGUCUUCUUUUUCUAAAUUUUAUUUUAUUAUCCUUGAAUGGCAGGAAAGAGUUCUAGAGAGAGAAGACAAAGUCAGUCUGUGUUUAGAAAAAAACCCAAGGCUGAAAAUUGAAGAACUGAAUAUGCAGCUUGGAAAGCGAACUGGACACAAGGAAAGUCUUGUCAGAUGGCUGCAUGCUUUUCACUGGAGGAGAGGGUGCCAGCCAUGGCUGCCUUUGAUCUUCAUCUUCUCAUCCAGGCUGUGUUUCCUUUCCUCAGCUGUGGUUCUCUCAGAGGUGAGGGCUCUCUCAUUAUUCUGUUCCGGGCUGGUACAACAGGUCAGCACUGAACCCCCUGGCUGCCAGGGAUUUCUCGGAGGUGACAAGCCAGGGGUUUGCCAGCUGCUGGCCAGAUGUUCAGCAGUGACCCCGAUUUGGAGGUUGGGGCGUUCUGCACUUUGUGGGCUCCUCCUAGCCCAUCUUGUGGGAAUCCCUGAAGGAGGCUUGAAGUCCUGCACAAGUCCUCCUGUGGUCACAGAUGUGCUCUGCUUUAGCUUGGCUGUCUUAUGAGUCUUGGGUGGCAUCCCUGGACAUUCGUUUCAAGCUGGGAUGGGCCGCAGAAAGCUUCUGAGGCAUUCUCGCCACCUGAUCUGCCCCAACGGGAGACCACUUUCAGGUGUGGCCACCUCUGUUGCACAGUAGGCUCGCCUCUUUGUUGUUGUUCCCACCUUAUCCGGAUAGCAGUGCUGAGAAGCAGGAGUCCCUGCGUUUGGAGACCAAGACCGGGCCCCAUGGUGGGUGGCCCAGGUCACAGGGCAGCAGUCAGCUUAUGGAGCCAGGGAACGUCCUGCUGACACCCUCAGCAAGGGUCUCGGGUAUAUUCCGGUUUUCCAACGAAACCCACCACACCUCAUCCCACUGAAUCUCUCGCCCGAACGGACCCUAUCGCUGUUCGCGUCACCCAUCCGAAAUCCAAUGAAAACAGCAGUCCCGGGUGUACAUCGCAGUGUCUGAAGUGCGCUCCUCCCCAACCCAACCCAAUAAGGAAAGCCAGCUCAAGAAGGUACUGAGGUCAGGACUGUCGGG